CCUACGGGUGACAGCAGUGGGGAAUAUUGCACAAUGGGGGGAACCCUGAUGCAGCGACGCCGCGUGGGUGAGGAAGUACUUCGGUAUGUAAAGCUCUAUCAGCAGGGAAGAAAAUGACGGUACCUGAGUAAGAAGCCCCGGCUAACUACGUGCCAGCAGCCGCGGUAAUACGUAGGGGGCAAGCGUUAUCCGGAUUUACUGGGUGUAAAGGGAGCGUAGACGGCAGUGCAAGUCUGGAGUGAAAGGCGGGGGCUCAACCCCGGGACUGCACUGGAAACUGUCCGGCUGGAGUGCAGGAGGGGCAAGUGGAAUUCCUAGUGUAGCGGUGAAAUGCGUAGAUAUUAGGAGGAACACCAGUGGCGAAGGCGGCUUACUGGACGGUAACUGACGUUGAGGCUCGAAAGCGUGGGGAGCAAACAGGAUUAGAUACCCGAGUAGUC
rnacentral:rRNA from 1 species